GAUAUGGCUCAGGAUGAACGCUGGCGGCGUGCCUAACACAUGCAAGUCGAACGGACUUACAUUGAAGCCUAGCGAUAUGUAAGUUAGUGGCGGACGGGUGAGUAACGCGUGGGUAACCUGCCUUGUACUGGGGGACAACAGUUGGAAACGACUGCUAAUACCGCAUAAGCGCACAGCUUCGCAUGAAGCAGUGUAGAAAACUCCGGUGUACAAGAUGGACCCGCGUCUGAUUAGCG
rnacentral:rRNA from 1 species